rnacentral:rRNA from 1 species
GACGAACGCUGGCGGCGUGCUUAACACAUGCAAGUCGAGCGGUAAGGCCCUUUCGGGGGUACACGAGCGGCGAACGGGUGAGUAACACGUGGGUGACCUGCCCUCAGCUCUGGGAUAAGCCUGGGAAACCGGGUCUAAUACCGGAUAUGACUCCAUGACGCAUGUUGUGGGGUGGAAAGCCUUGUGCGGCUGAGGAUGGGCCCGCGGCCUAUCAGCUUGUUGGUGGGGUGAUGGCCUACCAAGGCGACGACGGGUAGCCGGCCUGAGAGGCGACCGGCCACACUGGGACUGAGACACGGCCCAGAC